GACGAACGCUGGCGGCGUGCUUAACACAUGCAAGUCGAACGGAAAGGCCCUGCUUGCAGGGUACUCGAGUGGCGAACGGGUGAGUAACACGUGGGUUAUCUGCCCUUCACUUCGGGAUAAGCCUUGGAAACUGGGUCUAAUACCGGAUAGGAGCCAUUUUUAGUUUUUUGGUUGGAAAGAUUUUUCGGUGUAGGAUGAGCUCGCGGCCUAUCUGCUUGUUGGUGGGGUAAUGGCCUACCACGGCGGCGACGGGUAGCCGGCCUGAGAGGGUGGACAGACAAAAUGGGACUGAGAAAAGGCCCAGAAGCCCACGGGAGGCAGGAGGGGGGAAUAUUGGACAAUGGGGGGAAGGCUGAUGGAGCGAAGGCGCGUGGGGGAUGACCGCCUUCGGGUUGUAAAAUCCCUUCGAUAGGGAAGAAGCUUUUUGUGACGGUACCUAGAGAAGAAGCACCGGCUAACUACGUG
rnacentral:rRNA from 1 species